rnacentral:rRNA from 1 species
GAUGAACGCUGGCGGCGUGCCUAAUACAUGCAAGUCGAGCGAACAGACGAGGAGCUUGCUCCUCUGACGUUAGCGGCGGACGGGUGAGUAACACGUGGAUAACCUACCUAUAAGACUGGGAUAACUUCGGGAAACCGGAGCUAAUACCGGAUAAUAUAUUGAACCGCAUGGUUCAAUAGUGAAAGACGGUUUUGCUGUCACUUAUAGAUGGAUCCGCGCCGCAUUAGCUAGUUGGUAAGGAAACGGCUUACCAAGGCAACGAUGCGUAGCCGACCUGAGAGGGUGAUCGGCCACACUGGUACUGAGACACGGUCCAGACUCCUACGGGAGGCAGCAGUAGGGAAUCUUCCGCAAUGGGCGAAAGCCUAACGGAGCAACGCCGCGUGAGUGAUGAAGGUCUUCGGAUCGUAAAACUCUGUUAUUAGGGAAGAACAAAUGUGUAAGUAACUAUGCACGUCUUGACGGUACCUAAUCAGAAAGCCACGGCUAACUACGUG